ACGCACGCUGGCGGCGUGCUUCACACAUGCCAGUCGAACGGAAAGGCCCUGCUUUUGUGGGGUGCUCGAGUGGCGAACGGGUGAGUAACACGUGAGUAACCUGCCCUUGACUUUGGGAUAACUUCAGGAAACUGGGGCUAAUACCGGAUAGGAGCUCCUGCUGCAUGGUGGGGGUUGGAAAGUUUCGGCGGUUGGGGAUGGACUCGCGGCUUAUCAGCUUGUUGGUGGGGUAGUGGCUUACCAAGGCUUUGACGGGUAGCCGGCCUGAGAGGGUGACCGGCCACAUUGGGACUGAGAUACGGCCCAGACUCCUACGGGAGGCAGCAGUGGGGAAUAUUGCACAAUGGGCGGAAGCCUGAUGCAGCAACGCCGCGUGCGGGAUGACGGCCUUCGGGUUGUAAACCGCUUUCGCCUGUGACGAAGCGUGAGUGACGGUAAUGAGUAAAGAAGCACCGGCUAACUACGUG
rnacentral:rRNA from 1 species